rnacentral:rRNA from 1 species
UACGAAGGGGGCUAGCGUUGCUCGGAAUGACUGGGCGUAAAGGGCGCGUAGGCGGUUUGGACAGUUGGGCGUGAAAUUCCCGGGCUUAACCUGGGGGCUGCGCUCAAUACAUCUAGACUUGAGUGAGGAAGAGGGUCGUGGAAUUCCCAGUGUAGAGGUGAAAUUCGUAGAUAUUGGGAAGAACACCGGUGGCGAAGGCGGCGACCUGGUCCGGAACUGACGCUGAGGCGCGAAAGCGUGGGGAGCAAACAGG